GCAAGUCGAGGGGUAGGGUAGCGAUACCUGAGACCGGCGCACGGGUGCGUAACGCGUAUGCAAUCUACCUUUUACUAAGGGAUAGCCCAGAGAAAUUUGGAUUAAUACCUUAUAGUAUAUUAGCUUCACAUGAAAUUAAUAUUAAAGUCACAACGGUAAAAGAUGAGCAUGCGUCCCAUUAGCUAGUUGGUAUGGUAACGGCAUACCAAGGCAACGAUGGGUAGGGGUCCUGAGAGGGAGAUC
rnacentral:rRNA from 1 species